rnacentral:rRNA from 1 species
CACCUCUUGUUGCUUUGGCGGGCCCGCCUCGGCCACCGGCUCCGGCUGGUGAGCGCCCGCCAGAGGACCCCAAACUCUGAAAUUUAGUGUCGUCUGAGUACUAUAUAAUAGUUAAAACUUUCAACAACGGAUCUCUUGGUUCUGGCAUCGAUGAAGAACGCAGCGAAAUGCGAUAAGUAAUGUGAAUUGCAGAAUUCAGUGAAUCAUCGAAUCUUUGAACGCACAUUGCGCCCCUUGGUAUUCCGGGGGGCAUGCCUGUUCGAGCGUCAUUACAACCCUCAAGCUCUGCUUGGUAUUGGGCGUCCCCGGCGACGGGGUGCCCUAAAAUCAGUGGCGGUGCCGUCUGGCUCUAAGCGUAGUAAAUCUCUCGCUCUGGAUGCCCGGUGGAUGCUCGCCAGAACCCCCCAUUUUUUACAGGUUGACCU